rnacentral:rRNA from 1 species
UGGGGAAUUUUGCACAAUGGGGGAAACCCUGAUGCAGCGACGCCGCGUGAUUUAGAAGGCCUUCGGGUUGUAAAAAUCUUUUCUAUGGGAAGAAAAUGACAGUACCAUAGGAAUAAGGACCGGCUAAUUACGUGCCAGCAGCCGCGGUAAUACGUAAGGUCCGAGCGUUGUCCGGAAUCAUUGGGCGUAAAGGGUACGUAGGCGGGUAAGCAAGUUAGAAGUGAAAUCCUAUAGCUCAACUAUAGUAAGCUUUUAAAACUGCUCAUCUUGAGGUAUGGAAGGGAAAGUGGAAUUCCUAGUGUAGUGGUGAAAUGCGCAGAUAUUAGGAGGAAUACCGGUGGCGAAGGCGACUUUCUGGCCAUAACCUGACGCUGAGGUACGAAAGCGUGGGUAGCAAACAGG